rnacentral:rRNA from 1 species
GACGAACGCUGGCGGCGUGCCUAAUACAUGCAAGUUGAGCGAUGAAGAUUGGUGCUUGCACCCAUUUGAAGAGCAGCGAACGGGUGAGUAACGCGUGGGGAAUCUGCCUUUGAGCGGGGGACAACAUUUGGAAACGAAUGCUAAUACCGCAUAACAACUUUAAACAUAAGUUUUAAGUUUGAAAGAUGCAAUUGCAUCACUCAAAGAUGAUCCCGCGUUGUAUUAGCUAGUUGGUGAGGUAAAGGCUCACCAAGGCGAUGAUACAUAGCCGACCUGAGAGGGUGAUCGGCCACCUUGGGACUGAGACACGGCCCAAACUCCUACGGGAGGCAGCAGUAGGGAAUCUUCGGCAAUGGACGAAAGUCUGACCGAGCAACGCCGCGUGAGUGAAGAAGGUUUUCGGAUCGUAAAACUCUGUUGGUAGAGAAGAACGUUGGUGAGAGUGGAAAGCUCAUCAAGUGACGGUAACUACCCAGAAAGGGACGGCUAACUACGUG